rnacentral:misc_RNA from 1 species
GAUGAAGAACGUAGCGAAAUGCGAUAAGUAAUGUGAAUUGCAGAAUUCAGUGAAUCAUCGAAUCUUUGAACGCACAUUGCGCCCGCCAGUAUUCUGGCGGGCAUGCCUGUUCGAGCGUCAUUUCAACCAUCAAGCCCCAGGCUUGUGUUGGGGACCUGCGGCUGCCGCAGGCCCUGAAAACCAGUGGCGGGCUCGCUGUCACACCGGGCGUAGUAGAUUUUAUCUCGCUCAGGGCGUGCUGCGGGUUCCGGCCGUUAAAAAGCCUUUUUUACCCAAGGUUGGCCUCGGAUCAGGUAGGAAGACCCGCUGAACUUAAGCAUAUCAAUAAGCGGAGGA